rnacentral:rRNA from 1 species
AUCUGCCCGAUACUCUGGGAUAACGCUUGGAAACGAGUGCUAAUACCGGAUGGUCUUCUUGGCCGCACGGCCGAGAAGGAAAAGACGCGUUCGCGUCGGUGUCGGAUGAGCCCGCGGCGCAUUAGCUAGUUGGUGAGGUAACGGCCCACCAAGGCGACGAUGCGUAGCCGACCUGAGAGGGUGACCGGCCACACUGGGACUGAGACACGGCCCAGACUCCUACGGGAGGCAGCAGUAGGGAAUCUUCCACAAUGGGCGAAAGCCUGAUGGAGCAACGCCGCAUGAGUGAUGAAGGCCUUCGGGUUGUAAAACUCUGUCAUUCGGGACGAACCGGAGUCUGAGGAAACGCAGACUCUCUGACGGUACCGGAGGAGGAAGCCCCGGCUAACUACGUGCCAGCAGCCGCGGUAAUACGUAGGGGGCAAGCGUUGUCCGGAUUCACUGGGCGUAAAGCGCGCGCAGGCGGUGAUGCAAGUCUGAGGUGAAAACCCGAAGCUCAACUUCGGGACUGCCUUGGAUACUGCGUCACUUGAGGAUAGGAGAGGCAAGGGGAAUUCCACGUGUAGCGGUGAAAUGCGUAGAGAUGUGGAGGAACACCUGUGGCGAAGGCGCCUUGCUGGCCUAUUUCUGACGCUGAGGCGCGAAAGCGUGGGGAGCAAACAGGAUUAGAUACCCUGGUAGUCCACGCUGUAAACGAUGAGUGCUAGGUGUAGGUGGGCUCAUACCCAUCUGUGCCGAAGCUAACGCAUUAAGCACUCCGCCUGGGGAGUACGGUCGCAAGACUGAAACUCAAAGGAAUUGACGGGGGCCCGCACAAGCAGUGGAGCAUGUGGUUUAAUUCGAAGCAACGCGAAGAACCUUACCAGGACUUGACAUCCCAUAGACCAGUCUAGAGAUAGACUUUCCCUUCGGGGCUGUGGUGACAGGUGGUGCAUGGUUGUCGUCAGCUCGUGUCGUGAGAUGUUGGGUUAAGUCCCGCAACGAGCGCAACCCUUACUUUGUGUUGCCAGCAUUCAGUUGGGCACUCACAAGGGACUGCCGCCGAUAAGGCGGAGGAAGGUGGGGAUGACGUCAAAUCAUCAUGCCCCUUAUGUCCUGGGCUACACACGUGCUACAAUGGGCGGUACAACGGGAUGCGAAGCCGCGAGGUGGAGCCAAACCCUGAAAACCGUUCGUAGUUCGGAUUGUAGGCUGCAACUCGCCUACAUGAAGCCGGAAU